UGGCCGGGCACAGCCAGUUGCACAGGAUACCCCAGACCCACAUCCCAGAUGGCAUUGCUCAGAAGAUUGCAGCUGAAGAUGACAUCACCUUAAAUAACAUCACUCUAGCCCAAGACAUCGCUCUUAAAGAUACAUCACCUGGGCACUAAAGCCUCCACCCCAGUGACACCCAUGGAAUGCCUCUCCCAAGGUGUUGACAAAAUGGACAUGGGACAGUUAUUGCUUUUCUCCCUUUGAAUUAGGAAUUCUAUUGUGUUUCCUGAAUUUACUCUCUGCUUGGCCCAUGAUCCUGGUAUGUUCCUUGCUCUCUGCCAAAACAUGCACCCUCCCCUCCAUGCCUAAAGGAAAACCUAGUCGAAGUUACUACUCUCAAUGCCAUUCUAAAAUUAAUGAAGAGUAUUGCUUCCUCCAAGAGGCAGCUACAGUAGGUGAGUGAAUCCUUUGCACCCUGGGGAGAGGGUCACACACUCCCUAGUAACUUCCACUCCACCCUCCAGCUUUCCACCAGGACCUCCUGCCCUGUCCCCAGCUGUGACUGCCAUCACCACCCCAUCCCCUUGGUUACACACAAAUACCACCCAUCUUUACAUGUACUUUGCCAGCUUACCAGAUCAUACCCUCCAACAACAUAACUGCAGGACUUGCCGCCAUGACCUGAGAAAUACACCAAGAUACUCUCUCAAAUUUUUUGAGAUAUAUACAUAUCUCAUACGUUUAACAUACUUUGCAAUCCACCAAGAUAUGGGUAGAGACCCUGGAAAUUUCGGAGAUUCCCCUGCUAAUGCCGUAUGAACGGGAAACUUAGAUACAGGCUGGCUUACAAGACCCCUUACACUUCGACUUGUGUUCCUCCUUUCAACUCUCAUAAAAAGUUUCCUAUACUAUUUAGGGCAAAUGAUGGCCUUCUUUCUAAGUCUCAUCUAUCAUCACUGCAAAGGUGCCUUAGUUUGAUGUUAAAAUAUCACAGGGUCAAAUGUAUUGACCAAGCUUCUGGCAUCUAUAAAGUCGAUGUUUUAACACCUGUC